AUUGAACGCUGGCGGCAGGCCUAACACAUGCAAGUCGAGCGGUUUCCUUGAGCUUGCUCCCUGAUUCAUCUGCGGACGGGUGAGUAAUGCCUAGGAAUCUGCCUAUUAGUGGGGGACACCUUGUCGAAAGGAACGCUAAUACCGCUGACGUGCUACGGGAGAAAGCAGGGGACCUUCGGUCCUUGCGCUAAUAGAUGAGCCUAGGUCGGAUUAGCUUGUUGGUGAGGUAAUGGCUCACCAAGGCGACGAUCCGUAACUGGUCUGAGAGGAUGAUCAGUCACACUGGAACUGAGACACGGCCCAGACUCCUACGGGAGGCAGCAGUGGGGAAUAUUGGACAAUGGGCGAAAGCCUGAUCCAGCCAUGCCGCGUGUGUGAAGAAGGUCUUCGGAUUGUAAAGCACUUUAAGUUGGGAGGAAGGGUUGUAGAUUAAUACUCUGCAAUUUUGACGUUACCGACAGAAUAAGCACCGGCUAACUCUGUGCCAGCAGCCGCGGUAA
rnacentral:rRNA from 1 species